rnacentral:rRNA from 1 species
GUUGGCAGUCUUGUCUAUCUUGCUGUUACGCGUCCUGACAUCUCCUAUCCUGUCCACAUUCUAAGUCAGUUUGUCUCAGCCCCCACCUCUGUCCACUAUAGUCAUCUCCUCCGUGUUCUACGAUAUCUUCGUGGCACGAUCUCUCAGCAUCUUUUCUUUCCCCGCUCCAGCUCUCUUGAGCUCCUGGCCUACUCUGAUGCUACCUGGGCUAGUGAUCCCUCUGAUCGACGCUCAUUGUCUGCUUAUUGUGUCUUUCUUGGUGGCUCUCUUAUUGCCUGGAAGACAAAGAAACAGACUGCAGUUUCUCGCUCGAGUACAGAGGCUGAGUGGCGAGCCAUGGCUAUGCUGACGGCUGAGGUGAUCUGGUUACGGUGGUUAUUUGAGGAUUUUGGUGUGUUUGCUACUACAUCGACUCCUUUAUUGUCCGACAGUACUCGUGCUAUCAGCAUU